GUGUGUGCGCGCUAGGCCAGAGAUUCCCUAGUAUAUCUUGGCCUCAAUAUUUUCUGAAGGCCAGAAACACUGUCAUACUUGCUAUGCACUGCACUUAAAGCUCCUUUUCUUUGAGGGUAGGGACGGGAGGGGGAAAACGGGGG